rnacentral:tRNA from 1 species
ACAUCAGUGGUUCGGUGGUAGAUUGCUCGCCUGCCGCGCGAGCGGCCCGGAUCGAUUCCGGCCCGAUGCA